UUUAGUUAAGACUCUCUACAUUAUUUUUCCUCUAGUAUUUGAUGUGUUCCUGUAGUUGAUUGUUGUUGUUUUUAUAGCGCUUCAUUUAUGUUCCUCCGGUUGCUGUGUUUCGUUAGUCAUUCCUUUAGGUUUGUGAUAUUUUCGUUGUUGAGUUUGUUCCUUUUGGUUAGCUAUUUCUUUAGUUUAUUGUAGUUUUAUUCUUGUUAUUGUUGUUUUUUGUUGUUGUUUUAGCAUUCAUAAUUGCACAAAAAGUUUUCUCUGGAUUCACAAAACUAAUGUCUGUGGUUAUUAGGAGUCUUUAAGCGUACAAUUUUGAAUGCACUGACGGCAAAAAUUAUUGGAAGCUGUGCACAAACUAUAACAGCUUUAGGUGAGAGAGAGAGAGAGAGAGAGAGAGAGAGAGAGAGAGAGAGAGACUUUCCUAUAAGCCUUCAUACUUAAUCGUUAGUUUCUAAGUCUUUUUUAUUACUCCUAGUUUUAUUUUACUUAUUUUAUUAACGGUUUUCUUACCUGUGUGUGUACAUGUGUAUGUGUGUGCUCUCGGUUCGACGAUGAAUGAAGACUUUUUAAUCCCGCAAACAAUAAACGUUUCGCAAUCAUUCGUAGUCUGUAUAAGCGUAGGCCACAAAAACACGACAUUCACGUCUCCGACAAAGCAACAAAAAAAAAAUUAAGUCGCCAAUCUAGGGCAAGUCCGCCGCCGAGUGAGCGUGACGUGGAGAGUGUACAGCUUCGUAAUCGUAAUAUUUUGGAGAACUGUGUAUAGCGUACGUACUUAAGGGUGACGCCACCAUGGCUCAUGUUCCGCCGUCUCCUGGUGUUGCGCUACUGUAAGGAUGAUCUUCGGGUGGUUGUGUUGAGUCCCUCCGAGCCAACCUUUUAACUCUGUCUCAAGGUCUCACUGAAAAGCUUCAUAUUGUGUUUCUUCUAGAUUUUAAACUCUGUGAAUCCUUCUCUCAUCUUUGUCUCAUGGUAUCAUUGACCUCACUACAGUCCCAUUAAAGUUCUUAUUAUUAUUUUGAUUCUAUAUUUGAAACUGUUUGAGUCCUUAUAAGCCUCUCGUCUUUGUCUCAUGGUAUCAUUGACCUCACUAAAAGUCCAGUUAAAGUUCUUAUUGUUAUUUUGAUUCUAUAUUUGAAACUGUUUGAGUCCUUACAAGCCUCUUUCUUUUGUCUCAAGGUGUUAUUUACCCCACUAAUGAGCCAAUUUCACAGUCCAACACAGUGUCUUCGUAACAGCCUGAAUCAAACUAUACAAUCCCAUACAAUCCAAAAUGGUGAGGUCUUCAAUGCCACACUAAAUACACAAGACUUUUCCUGUAUAGUUUCAUCAAAUUUGUGAACUUAAAGUGCGGCUGUAAGGUGCCAUGUGAGGAAUAACCAGGAGUACAGCGAUGUCACAUUUAUAACCCCAUGUUGGUUGCCUCUCUCUCUCUCUCUCUCUCUCUCUCUCUCUCUCUCUCUCUCUCUCUCUCGCUCUCUCGCUCUCAUGGUGUUACCGCUCCGAGGAUUUGAAUGUUUUUUUAUUUUAUUUAUUUAUUUUAUUUUUUUUAUACUUAUGUCAGCUUAUUUUAACGUACAUUCCUUCACGAUAUAAUCUAAAUAUAAUUGUGAAACUACUUACACAUCCCAAAACGAAAGGGAAACUCAAUAAUAAGUAUAUCGUUUUUUUUAGCAACGCUUUAAAAUACAUAUGCCAUGUUUCUUUAUGUGCUUAUAGAUAUCUUAUCCAUAAUAAGUUAACUGUUCUUUCAUACGUUACAAUACUAAGAUUAAAUGUGUAUGCAUAUUUGCUAAUCAUAUUUGCCAUGGUUUUAUUUAUAUUAGAACAUUUCUACAUCGCGGGCUGGGAGACACACGGCAACGCUGUACAAGGGGAUCACCCUACCCUGAACUCCCCUCAAUCGCACAUUUGCCCGAGCCAGACUAUAGGAGACCGUUGAGCAUACAUAACAGAACCAAGAAAAAUAAAGGGAGCUGAAUGUCUGUAUAUGUUAUGUGUGAAAACUUAACCACUUGAGACUGAACGAAAACAACAACCUGCAGUUAGAAGCGACUCAACACAACCCCCCCAAAAUGCUCCUACCAGCAGAACAACACCGAGAGAGGCUGAAACAUGUGCUUGGGUCAUGCCACCUCAUCUGUAUAUGAUUUUGAGGGAGCGUAGAGCCUAAAUAGUGAUAUCAUUUUUAAAGUGUGUGUGUAUAGGCAAGUAAAUCAUGCUGUUUUUAAGAGAGUGUACAGACAGUCUUAUGGUUCAAUCCUCUCACAAAACUGUAUAGCGUAACGGUGUGUUGUCAUUUUUAAACAUGUACUAUAGCCGUGUGAAUCUGUAAUUAUCAUAAAAGCGUGGAGGUUGGAGCCGUGAUAGGUAGUACCACAAUUUUUUGGCGAGAGAGCUUAGCGUCGGACUGCAACGUAAUCUAGUCCUUGAAAACCGUGCAGUGCGACGCGACGUAAACCUCCAAAAAAACAAACAAAAAAAAAAAAGGCAUGUUGUGGGGUGUUUUCGCUUCUACGACGGACGUAAGGAAAGGAGAGAAGAAAAAAAAAAAACGCUUCCUGUUGACCGAUCCAUUAAUGUUUUUUUUGUGUGCGAUUUGAAAGCAGUGCACCACAACUCGACUCUCCCCCCCCCCCUCCCCCCCCACACACCCAAAAAAAAAGGCACGUAGGGAGUGUUCACCUUCACGGCAAUUGUUAGCUACGAAAGAAUAGAAAAGAAAGGCUUACAGAAUUUGAGUAGACCGAUGUGAUCAAUGUUUUUAUUAUGUAGUUUGGAAGCGGUUACGCCACCCAGUUCUUAGCCGAAAAGCACGUUAAUUAAAGGUCGGUCGACGCUUUUACGAAGAGUGUGAGUCAAGGAGGAGAAGAGGGAAAAAAAGUUUGAUGUUGAAUAGAAAAAAACUUUGAUGGAAAAAUUGUUUGCAGGUGAAUAGAAAAGAAAAAGUCAACGGAGAAAAUAGUUUGAAGUUAGAGAAAAAAAAAAAAGGUCGGUAGAAAAAAUGUUUGCAGCUGAAUAGAAAAAAAAAAGGUCAACAAAAAUUAGUCAGAAUUUAAAGAAAAAAUAAUCUGGUUAAAUUUGAAAAAAACAGGGUUGAUAGAUUUUUUUUUUUUUUUCAGUUGAAUAGAAAAAAAGGUCAUCAGAAAAAUAGUUUGAAGUUUAAUACGAAAAAAGGUCAACAGAAAAAAUAGUUUGAAGUUUAAUACAAAAAAAGGUCAACAGAAAAAAUAGUUUGAAGUUUAAUACGAAAAAAGGUCAACAGAAAAAUAGUUUGAAGUUAAAUACAAAAAAAAGGUCAACUGAAAAAAUAGUUUGAAGUUUAAUACAAAAAUUAAAGGUCAACUGAAAAAAUAGUUUGAAGUUUAAUACAAAAAAGGUCAACAGAAAAUUAAUUUGAAGUUUAAUACAAAAAAAGGUCAACUGCAAAAAUAGUUUGAAGUUAAAUACAAAAAAAGGUGAACAGAAAAAUAGUUUGAAGUUAAAUACAAAAAAAGGUCGAUAGGAAAUUUUUUUUAAACUUUAACUCAAAAAAAGAUCAACAGAAAAAAUAGUUUGAAGUUUAAUACGAAAAAAAGGUCAAUAGGAAAAAUUGUUUAAACUUUAAUACGAAAAAAGAUCAACAGAAAAAAAAUUGAAGUUAAAUACAAAAAAAAAGUUACAGAAAAAAAGGUUUGCAGUUAAAGAAAAGUGCCAAGGAAAAGGUUACAGCAAAACGAGGUAGAAGUUUGAAAAAGAAAGAAAGAAAGAGGAAAGAAAUAUAUAGUCCCGUAGAAUAAAAAAAAAGACAAAAUUAAUAUAUAACUUUGUAGAGCCGAGAAUUUAAGAAUAAAGUCAGUAGGUAGCCUCGUACAUAUGUGUGUGUUUGUGUGUGUAUGUGUGAAACAGAGAAGGUUGAGGAAACAUGAGAUUUUAAGAGGUACAAAGGAAUGAGUGUGUGUAGGAUAAUAUGUGAAGGAAAGAAGGAAGUGAAGGUAGCGUGUGUGUGUGUGUGUGUGUGUGUGUUGGGAAAGUAUGUACGUAUAUGUGUGUAAGUUAGGCAUUGAAUGAAAAACAAAGGAAGGAAAUUGGAAGAGAGUGAAUAAAUGGAAGGAAAUGAAAACAAAUGAUGAAAGUAGGAAGGAAGGAAAGAAAGUUAAGAAAAGAGAUGCAUAAAAAAAUGAGAAAAUAAGAUAGAAAAGACUGACAAAAAAUGAGAAAGAGAGAAAGAAGGAAUGAUGGAAAUGAAAACAAAUGAUGAAAGUGGGAAGGAAG